GACGAACGCUGGCGGCGUGCUUAACACAUGCAAGUCGAACGGAAAGGCCCUGCUUUUGUGGGGUGCUCGAGUGCCGAACGGGUGAGUAUCACGUGAGUAACCUGCCCUUGUCUUUGGGAUAACUUCAGGAAACUGGGGCUAAUACCGUACCGGAGCUGCUGCUGCAUGGUGGGGGUUGGAAAGUCUCGGCGGUUGGGGAUGGACUCGCGGCUUAUCGGCUUGUUGGUGGGGUAGUGGCUUACCAAGGCUUUGACGGGUAGCCGGCCUGUGAGGGUGACCGGCGACAUGGGGACUGCGAUACGGAGCAGACUCCUACGGGAGGCAGCAGUGGGAAAUAUUGCACAAUGAGCGGGAGCGUGAUGCAGCAGCGCCGCGUGCGGGAUGACGGCCUUCGGGUUGUGAACCGCUUUCGCCUGUGACGAAGCGUGAGUGACGGUAAUGGGUGAAGAAGCACCGGCUAACUACGUG
rnacentral:rRNA from 1 species